UCCCAAAUAGCUCAGUUGGUUAGAGCAUCUGACUGUUAAUCAGAGGGUCACUGGUUCAAGUCCAGUUUUGGGAG
rnacentral:tRNA from 1 species